UACGUAGGGUGCGAGCGUUAAUCGGAAUUACUGGGCGUAAAGCGUGCGCAGGCGGUUUUGUAAGCCAGAUGUGAAAGCCCGGGGCUCAACCCCGGGAGGCGGGCGGAUACUGUCGGGCUAGAGUCCGGAAGAGGCGAGUGGAAUUCCUGGUGUAGCGGUGAAAUGCGCAGAUAUCAGGAGGAACACCAAUGGCGAAGGCAGCACUCUGGGACGUGACUGACGCUGAGACGCGAAAGCGUGGGGAGCAAACAGG
rnacentral:rRNA from 1 species